ACACACACACACACACACACACACACACACACACACACACACACACACACACACACACACACACACACACACACACACACACACACACACACGAGCGAGCUACCUCAGCUCUCGCCGGCACAGCCUGCAUCCCUACCUGGCGGCGCGUCGAGGGGAACUAACUAACCGGCUGAGGGAGAACCGCAGCUGAAAGGGAGCGUUUUGGGACACCCUGGGAGAGAGAUGUUUUCCUUAGCUGCUCCAGCAGACAGGAAUCUACGAGCAGAGAAGAAAGCCUCGGUCUCCCCCAGGAGAACAGUACAAAGCCCAGUCUGCACACAGCAGAUGCAAAAGCAAGUCCAUCUGCUACCAGCUCACAACGCCACAUGGACUUGUGAGAUUCAAUCCUAGGCGUCGUCUGGCUGGCUGUGUUUGUGUAGACGCCACGGAAACAAGAGGAGGAGCGGCUGAUGUGGAGGAAAGGGUCGAUACAACUCACACAGGCUCCCCCAGACCUGAAACACACGUGUCCCCACAAGUGUGUGUGCUCGUGUGUGCUAGUGUGUGUGUGUGUGUGUGUGUGUGCACGCGCACAGGCGUAAGUGACUGUGUUUUGAAGUCUGCCGAAUGAAUGUGUACUCAUGAAAUUCAACAAACUAUUCUUACAGCAUAAACAAAGAUAAACAGACACAACUUCACUGACAGUGAGAGUACGCGGAGCAGGAACUUUCAUGCUCACGGAGAUGCACCCAAGGCAGGCAUGACAGAUUUAUUUAGUAAAAGAUCUAGCCUCUAACUCGGGGUAUAAGACCACUUGAACUCACAGCUCAGAGCGGUGUGUUGGCAUGAGUUCACAGGCCCCGAAUAGCACAUUAUAUACCAACCAGCAGAUUUGAGCUGUCUGAUAUCCUUAUUAAAUAAAAAGCAACAGCGAAAGCCAAAAA